CCUACGGGCGGCUGCAGUGGGGAAUAUUGCGCAAUGGGCGAAAGCCUGACGCAGCGACGCCGCGUGAGGGAUGAAGGUCUUCGGAUCGUAAAACUCCGUCAGCAGGGAAGAACGCUCAAUGUGCUAAUCAGCAGUGAAUUGACGGUACCUGCAAAGGAAGCACCGGCUAACUCCGUGCCAGCAGCCGCGGCAAUACGGAGGGUGCGAGCGUUGAUCGGAAGUACUGGGAGUAAGGCGCUCGUAGGCGGUAUGUCAAGUCAAGGGUGAAAUCCCCGCGCUCAACGUGGGAACUGCCUUUGAAACUGGCAAACUGGAGUGUGUAAGCGGAUGGUGGAAUUCCUGGUGUAGGGGUGAAAUGCGUAGAUAUC
rnacentral:rRNA from 1 species